rnacentral:lncRNA from 1 species
UCAAUAGAUGUAAUCAAUUCCAAUGAAUCUUCCAGUCCAUUUUCUUCAUAAACACCUAAAAUCCUCUCAUCAUCUUGCAAUGUACCUAACUUGCGUAAUUUUCCUUCAAUAUUAUAUAAUCUUUUUCUUUCUUUUCUUUUAAAAUCAUCAACUUUCUUAUACAUAAUAUUUCCAUUCUUCAAAAUACCAAUAAAACUCGCAUCAAAGGCACCUUUAUCUUGCGAGAGUACCUCCUCUUUUGUACCUCCAUAAUCUCGCUUUACAGUGGUACCUCCCUAAAAUCCUUAAAU